AAAACUAACAUAAUAUUUUAUUAAAUGUAAACUAAAUUCAUAAUAAUUCUUAAAAUAUUAAAGCAUACAUUCUAACUACAUCUAAAAAUUACCCCAGCUCGUGGGCGGGUGUGGAGCACUUCAAGUUGUAAAUGAGCUUAUAGCGCCUGUAUAAGGGUUAAUACCAAAAUCACUUUAGCUCAUGGACAAGUCUGGAUCGCUCGUGGAUAAAUAUGCUUCCUAUCUGCAAAUAAGUUUUAGUUAAAUGUUGGACCUUGUAUUAUAAUGAAUUAUUGAUAUGUCACCACUUAACUGCAAUAAUACAAUCAAACUUGUUUAUGAGUUUUUUUCAACCUCCAAUUCAUCAACUGAUAAGCCUGAAUUUCUAUGACUCAAAAUCGAGUUAUUACAUCCUUGUUGGGCUUACCCAUUAACAUACUCAAUUUAAAGAGGAGAAGAUGCCAUGAAUUGGUUUAAUGGAUCAACUAACUCAGCAUUCUCAUCUUCCAUUUCUUCUUCUUAUUUUUUCUCAACUUUAUCAAUAUGACACCUAUAUUUGUCAUCACUUGGUUCUGAUUCUCCAUAACAAUAUAAAGCAAAUGUCAUAGCCAACCGGGCUUUCAUAUCUUCAAUUUUUUGUGUCGACAUUUGGUUCCUUGUGUUACCACUUAAACUAAAUAGACCAACUAACCGUGAUGUGUCAUUUGAGUGUAACUUGGCACCCGAGUGAAAUCCGUGCUGGAAGACUUUCCUCGUAUAGGCUUGCUAUUCAAGUAGAACUCUAGAAUAUUCAUCCCAUUAAUGUUGAAAAAACCCAAACAUGAAAUUCACACUUUCAUCACUACAAAUAGGUACAUCAACAUAACGAGUUGCACUAAACCCAUUUUGCAUCAUCCUCCAAGUAAUUUUAACUUUAAUUUCAAAUAUAUUUCAGCCAAGUCGAUUUGAUAACAUUUAAAAUAACUUGUUAAGAGAUAUAUCUAAUGUAACAAUUAGAAACUCAUUACUUCCUCUAUUAUAAGUGAUAUCAUUGUUGGUAUUGGCAAUGAUAUCAUCAUAAAAGCAUAAUAUUCUAAUAGUACAUGAUAUUCUAUUAAACAACACAACAAAAUUCAAGCUUAAUUCAUCAAUAUUGUGAAGUUAAUCAAGGUAUAUAAUUUAUUAACAAAACCCUAACAAUAACAUAAUCAAUAAAAACUCAAAAUUCAUUAAUUUUCUCCAUAAAUAAUAAAAUUAUAAACUCAAUUGAUGUAUUUCAUAGCUAGGUAUCAUAUUUUAUACCUAAUUCGACAAAAUCUCUUAUUUAAAAUAAAAAAAUUCUAACUCUAAUUCACAAUCAAUAACAAUCCAAAAUCAUUAAUUUUCUUCAAAAAUAAGAAAAUUAACAACUCUAAUCAAUAUAUUUUAUAGCUAGUUAACCUAAUUUACAAAACCCUAUUUUUUUCUAAAAAUCUAUAAUGCUAAACCCUAUUAUUUUCAAAAUCAACAAUCAGCACAAACUAUACUAAAUUGAUAGAAAGGAAGUGUGUAAUAUACCUCCUCUAAGUGUUGAAUGUGGGUGAUGGUAAUAGAUAGCGGCGGUGGCAGCUGAAACUUGGUGAGAGAAUGGCAAGUGGAGAGAGGAAGGCUCGUCACAUUAGAGAGAGUGAGGGAGAGGGUGGUCUCGUGGUGGCUCAGAGAGUGUUUCAUAAUGGGGAGAGAAGGUGGUGGUUAUGGGCAGUGACAAGUUCACGUGGACGGUGGUUGUGGGGAGUGAAGGAGAGAAAAAAUAAAGAGAAAAGGGUAGAAAGUAGAUCUAAGGUUGUAGUUCAAUUGAAAUGACAAUCCUCACA
rnacentral:lncRNA from 1 species